AUGCUGUUAGCCAUAGUUAUGACCACGGUCUGGAUUGAUUUCGCUGUGCCUCUCCAGGACAGCUCUGAUCUAUUUGGCUGUCAUAUUUAUAACGGACGAACAUACAGACGCGAUCAAUUAAUCGCUUGAAACAUUUCUCUGCGUCGAAUUUUGAAUAAUAGACCAGCAUUCUAAUCACUUUCAAACCAGUGAAAUCCCUUCUCUGUUUUGUGGUACCCAUUAUUCCUCCAGCUUCUAUGCACACAUAAGAAAAUUUGAAGAUUUUGCUGCCACCAAAUCUGACUGGUCGAGAGACCGCGUGGAGACUCCUGGACGAUGUUGAUGAUGAUAGUUAUGAUGUUGAUGAUAAUGAUGUUGAUAAGGAGAAGAAAGAGAAGGAGGGGAAGAUGGAAAGGCGUAGUUAUUAUCAAUGAUUCUUUUCAGUAAAUGUCCACCCACAUAUAUUACACUGGAAUGGUUUCACUCCCAAGUGACUAAGCAUAUGAUUUUCAAAGCGGCUCUUACGUAAAAAUGCCUUUCCACAAAUCUCACAAGAAGCAGCAUUUCUCUGUAUAUUUCGUGUCUAGGAGAGCAGUAACUUUGAAUAAAAACUGAAGCAGUGUGAAGAACACUUUAGUCAAGGCCAACAAUUACUAUAGUACUGGUGCAAGUCCAUACUGUAAAAUGGUUGGUGAUUGGAAGAGCAUCCAGCUUGUAAAAGAAAUACUAAAAUCAUGAAAUAUUCCAAUAAAGUUUAACUGCAUA
rnacentral:lncRNA from 1 species